rnacentral:tRNA from 1 species
GGUUCGGUGGUCUAGGGGUACGAUUCUCGCUUAGGGUGCGAGAGGUCCCGGGUUCAAAUCCCUGCCGAACCC